AUCGGUAUUUGAUAGAACUGAAUGAUAACAUUGACUUUUAGAUCGGUAUUUGAUAGAACUGAAAAAUAAUCUCGAUCUUUAGAUCGGUAUUUUAUAGAACUGAAAGAUAACCUAGACUUUCAGAUCAGUAUUUUAUAAAACUAAAGAUAACCUCAACCUUCAGAUCAGAAUUUGAUAGAACUGAAAGAUAACCUCAAUCUUC
rnacentral:lncRNA from 1 species